GACGAACGCUGGCGGCGUGCUUAACACAUGCAAGUCGAGCGGUAAGGCCCUUUCGGGGGUACACGAGCGGCGGACGGGUGAGUAACACGUGGGUGACCUGCCCUCAGCUCUGGGAUAAGCCUGGGAAAACCGGGUCUAAUACCGGAUAUGACUCCAUGACGCAUGUUGUGGGGUGGAAAGCCUUGUGCGGCUGAGGAUGGGCCCGCGGCCUAUCAGCUUGUUGGUGGGGUGANGGCCUACCAAGGCGACGACGGGUAGCCGGCCUGAGAGGGCGACCGGCCACACUGGGACUGAGACACGGCCCAGGACUCCUACGGGAGGCAGCAGUGGGGAAUCUUGCGCAAUGGGCGAAAGCCUGACGCAGCGACGCCGCGUGAGGGAUGACGGCCUGG
rnacentral:rRNA from 1 species